rnacentral:lncRNA from 1 species
CCCACACUUACCGAUGACCUUUCCCACUAGGGCAACAACUACCUCAAGCCCUACUCCUACCAUUUUUGUUAUUUCUUCCUCUCCACUUUCUUAUCCAAACCUUCAAAAUCUCAAUGUGGGAGCAAUUAUUGAAAUUUGCCCAUCUACUUGGACUUAGAGCUUCUUCUCCACCAAGGGAUAUAACCUCAACUCUGCCUUCGACUUUCAAUAAUGCAGCUAACUUGCUCACAAGGAGCUUGAACUCUUGGGAGCAAAAGUUUUUGGAGGAUGUGUCGGGGGAUGAGGCUAGCAUCAUGGCAGAGAGACAUUGUCAUCACUCAAUCCUUUACUCAAUGUCAAUUGCGGAUAAUGUAUUUCCAAUUUUAAAUGUUUAUUUAAUUGUUUGUUUUACAUAUAUACCUUCUUAUACUGAUUUCGUUGAUUGUAGAUAAGGAUAAAAAUCGAGAGAGUGGAAAAAAUAAGGAAGGAUGCCGGAUUUCCUUAUAAGUUCGUAGAAGCAAAUAAGGUUAGGCAAGUCGAAGAAAAGAAGGAACGUGAGGAAAAAAUAAGGAGAUUGGAGGUCAAACUUGAGGCAAAGAAGGUAGCUGAGGUUGAACUUAAGGAAGAGUUAGAAAUUCACAGAAUUUGGGGAAGGAAAGCCAAAAAGAGGAUUGAAAAUGAAAGAAAAAGGGCAGGGAUGAAAGGAUUAGGACGAAAGAAUUAAGGGUGAAGACAAAGGAAUUCUCGAUAAGGGCUAUUAAUAUUGUGAAGAUCUGGAUGGAAUCUACAAAGUAUAAUGUUCUAGCUUAAGACAUUUAUAUCGUUAGUUUGAAAGAUAUUGACAGAUUGUAGGGAAUUUCAAUUAUUUUUCAUUGUUCAAUAUCUUGUGUACAAAGAUGGAAGGCUAUAUAUAGCCUAGAAAUUGAGACUAUAUUGGGAUUACAC